CACGUAGGGCGCAAGCGUUGUCCGGAAUUAUUGGGCGUAAAGAGCUCGUAGGCGGUCUGUUGCGUCCGCUGUGAAAACUCGGGGCUUAACCCCGAGCCUGCAGUGGAUACGGGCAGACUAGAGGUAGGUAGGGGAGAAUGGAAUUCCCGGUGUAGCGGUGAAACGCGCAGAUAUCGGGAGGAACACCGGUGGCGAAGGGGGUUCUCUGGGCCUUACCUGACGCUGAGGAGCGAAAGCGUGGGGAGCGAACAGG
rnacentral:rRNA from 1 species